GCGGAGGAAAAAGAAACCAACAGGGAUUGCCUCAGUAACGGCGAGUGAAGCGGCAAAAGCUCAAAUUUGAAACCCUCGGGAUUGUAAUUUGAAGAUUUGGCAUUGGAGAAAGCUAACCCAAGUUGCUUGGAAUAGUACGUCAUAGAGGGUGACAACCCCGUCUGGCUAACCGUUCUCCAUGUAUUGCCUUAUCAAAGAGUCGAGUUGUUUGGGAAUGCAGCUCAAAGUGGGUGGUAAACUCCAUCUAAAGCUAAAUACUGGUGAGAGACCGAUAGCGAACAAGUACUGUGAAGGAAAGGUGAAAAGAACUUUGAAAAGAGAGUGAAAUAGUAUGUGAAAUUGUUGAUAGGGAAGGAAAUGAGUGGAGAGUGGCCGAGGUUUCAGCCGCCCCUCGUGGGCGGUGUACUGCCGACGCCGAGUCAUCGAUAGCGAGACGAGGGUUAC
rnacentral:rRNA from 1 species